rnacentral:rRNA from 1 species
ACUGAACGCUGGCGGAAUGCUUUACACAUGCAAGUCGAGCGGCAGCGCGGGGGCAACCCUGGCGGCGAGCGGCGAACGGGUGAGUAACACAUCGGAACGUACCCUGUCGUGGGGGAUAACGAAUCGAAAGAUUCGCUAAUACCGCAUACGACCUGAGGGUGAAAGCGGGGGAUCGCAAGACCUCGCGCGAGAGGAGCGGCCGAUGUCGGAUUAGCUAGUUGGUGAGGUAAAGGCUCACCAAGGCGACGAUCCGUAGCGGGUCUGAGAGGACGGCCCGCCACACUGGGACUGAGACCCGGCCCAGACUCCUACGGGAGGCAGCAGUGGGGAAUUUUGGACAAUGGGGGCAACCCUGAUCCAGCAAUGCCGCGUGCAGGAUGAAGGCCUUCGGGUUGUAAACUGCUUUUGUACGGAACGAAAAGCUCUGGGUUAAUACCUCGGGGUCAUGACGGUACCGUAAGAAUAAGCACCGGCUAACUACGUGCCAGCCGCCGCAGUAACAC